rfam:Bacillus akibai JCM 9157 DNA, contig:contig_55.
GGAUUCCCGUCGAGUAAGAACUAGCCAUUCACUCGUAGCGAGUCUUGGAGGGCUAAAGGUAACUUUAGUCUUUAAGCGUAGACAGUUAGGUUGCGGGCCGAAAGCCAAAUGGUUGAAGGGAUUGAGCCCCAUAAUGUUAGUAAAUCGAGAGGGCUGAUGUUUUUCCUGCGACAGAAAGCAACAUUUCAUUCCUCGUAAAUGGCAAGAGGAAUGAAACCUCUCUGGGGUCAGAGACCU